UCGGCUCUUGGGUCCUUGGGCGCCACCCUGGGUGAUCUGAGUCCCCUGUGGGUCACCGUUGGCGUCUUUCUUUCUCUUUCUUUCUUUCUUUCUUUCUUUCUUUCUUUCUUUCUUUCUUUCUUUCUUUCUUCCUUCCUUCCUUCCUUCCUUCCUUCCUUCCUUCCUUCCUUCCUUCCUUCCUUCCUUCCUUCUUUUAUGUUCUCUUUCUCAGUUUAUUCCCUGUUGUCUCUUGCUCUCGUGCUGUUCCCCGCUCGUCCGUGUGUCUGUCCGUCUCCUUCUAGCUUCUUUCUCUUUCUCACGACUUUAUUUCUCACUCCCCCUUUGACUUGAUAUUCUUUGCCCUUUCUUAUUUUUUCUUCCCACUUGCUUGCCUUCUCUCUCUCUGUCUCUGUCUCUGUCUCUCUGUCUCUUUCUCUCUCGUCUUUUUAAAUCUUCAUGCUCUCUCCUCUCUUCCUUAUUUUGGUUUCAUUUUUGUCUCCCACCUUCCCUCAUGUGUUUCCUCUCUUUGUCGUGUCCUCGUGUCCUCACGGUUUUCUUUCUAAACUUCCAUUCCUUCUUUUCCCCAUUUUUUACGUUUUCUUUCUCUCUUCUUAGUUUUUGUCUUUCUGUUCGUCCUCCUUUUUUUUUCUUCUUACUCCAAUUUCUCUCUCUCUCUCUCUCUCUCUCUCUCUCUCUCUCUCUCUCUCUCGUGUUCUUUCAAUGUUUUCCCCUCUUUUUAAUUCUCUCUGCCACUCUCUUGUCUUUUCUUCCUCCUUUCCUUUCCUUCCUUCACCUUUGGGUGGCCAAGUGGACUUUUUAAAGAAGUCUUUAGAUUCCCAGGGUCACUGGGAAGAACGCACGGUCCUGAGUGCAACACGAUUCUCAUCAAUUCUUAUGUGAAUGUGAUAUCAAUACAAAGAGAAGAGGUUCGAUGUAGUUCACAGAUACAAAAAAUAAGAAUAUGACACACUCCACUCCACUCCACUCCCCCCUCGCCCCCCCCCCCCCGUUUUUUAAAACUUCUGUGUAAAUAGUGAUCUGUGGAGUGUAUCCCAGGCAAUAGUGAAGCCCAUGGAUGGCCUCUGCCACAGAUGGUGUGCUGCCAGAGGAUGAGCCUCCUUCCCGAUGCCCCCCUCUCCCUCCCCACACACACCCCGUGAGCCAAGAGAAGACGAAGACCCCCUCCCUGGGGGUCUGACAGGCUGACUCCCGGAGCCAGGUGAGGCCAGACCUGUCUUUGGGAGGCACUUCAUGCUCUGAGAUUUCCAGCCUGCUGAGUCCCAACCCUCGGCUGUGUGGGCACCUAUGCCCCACAGCCUUUGUGGUUAUGCAGACACCUGCCCCCGACCCCCUCCACACACUCUCUGCCCCCGGGCAGCCGAGAAACACGUUCUGAGCGUCCCCCUGCCGCCUGGAUGCAUCCAGCUGGCUGUCCCUUGGUUCCUCGGUGUCGGUUGUUGGACUCCACCUGGUGGCCGCCUUGAUAUGGCUGUCGCGGGCUCCGGAGCCGGCAAGGGAUGACAAGUGGCCGAGGAGCCCGAGACAGAGUGUGACAAAGUCCCUAAGCUGCAGGAAGGACUGUCCCUGCCCUGCUGGGACCUGGGGGCCUGAUGUAUUGGUCGGAGAUUGGGCCUGGAGGAUGGCAAGUGAGCAGGCGGAGGCUGUGGAGGGAGGCGGGCGUCGCCUCGCGCCUGAACGUGGCUAGACUGGGGUGGCGCUACUGUUGGCGGGUAGACCAGCACACCCUGUCACACUACGUACUGGUAGUGCUGCUGCCACCACUGCCACCAACUGCAGAGACCGACCGGAGAUGUCGAUCUGUGGGCGGCAGAGGGAAGGGUGCCUUGGCCUGGGACUUUGUUUUUCCUUUUUUUUUUUUUUUUUUUUUUCUUUCUUCUUUCUUCGAAGUCCUUCUGCACUUGGGCCUAACCCUAAUUACUUGCUACUUGCCACUAAGGAAGGUCUGGACUGUUUUGUUUUUUUGUUUUGUUUUGUUUUGUUUUGUUUUUUUCCCCAAAGUCCCCCUUCAGGGAGUGAUCGAAGGUCGCUUUUUUUUUUUUUUUUCCCCUUUGACAGGCAGAGCGGACAGUGAGAGAGAGAGACAGAGAGAAAGGUCCUCCGUUGCCAUUGGUUCACCCUCCAAUGGCUGCCACGGCCAGUGCGCUGCGGCCGGCGCACCACGCUGAUCCGAAGGCAGGAGCCAGGUGCUUCCUUCUGGUCUCCCAUGGGGUGCAGGGCCCAAGCACUUGGGCCAUCCUCCACUGCACUCCCGGGCCACAGCAGAGAGCUGGCCUGGAAGAGGGGCAACCGGGACAGAAUCCGGCGCCCCGACCGGGACUAUAACCCGGUGUGCCGGCGCCCCAAGGUGGAGGAUUAGCCUAUUGAGCCACGGCGCCGGCCCCUGGGUUGCCUUUUGAGGGCCAGAGGCCAGUCUACUGGAGCCCGUGUGUGUGUCGACCAGGUGGCAGAGGAGUGUGCUCUAACAGAGAUGGGUGGCAUUUUGGGGACAAGUGACCGGGUCCCCAAGCUCAGAGGUGGCUGUGUCCAGUGCAUCAGCCCCGUGCCCUCUCGCGUGGACAUUUUUAUACUUGGAGUUGUGGUUUUGGACCUGCAGGUAAGUGCUGACACGCUGUUCUCUGGUGACUGUCGCCAGAGAGAGGGGACUCCGGACGUGCGUUGGGGACACGGGGACAAAGUGGGCUUCCAGUGGGCUGGUGCUCGACCGUGCUCCUUUCUGAGAGCCACCUGCUUGGGCUCGCGCGGUGGCUUGUGUGCGUUCGUCCCGGUUGUCCCGCGACGGUGAUGCCACCUCCGGCCUAUGGUGCCCGAGGGCGGUGGGGGUGAGGCGGGCGUCGGGUCCUCUACCCGCGUGCGCUCCUUGCCGCUGGUGAGCCGAUCGCCUGGUGGUUGUGACAACCCUCUGACUGAAAGGACCUCGAUGAGGGGUGGCUUCAUGCCACACGUGUGCGUGUCAGGCGUUCUCCGCUGGGGUUGUCUACCGCCUGCAGUGGGAGGCGGGGGCCGGCGAGGCUGCAGCGGGCCCCACUGGUGGCUGUCCUUGCCGGGUCGUGCCCCCCGCCCUCACUCCACGUGUUAAAACUCCGAGCUGACUGUGACCGAUGUGGUGCUGUGGUGCUCUCCUGGGCCGGACCUAAGCUGCUCCAGAUGAGGGACGGCCGUUCAUGGCGAACGCUGCCGAGCCUCUCGUUCUGGCCUGCGGGCCCCUCGUUCUGCCUUCCCCACCCGUGGGUGGUGUGUGGGUAGCAGGGGUGCGGAAACCGGCCCGACCUCUGCUGUCCCCGUGCUUUUGCGCGCGGGGGGGUGCUGGGGUCCUGUGACGUGGCGGGCAUCCCUCGCUGUCGCCCUGUCGUGGGCUGUGGCUGUGGAGCCUUGACUCCACGCGAGCCUGUGCGGUGCCCCUGGAGCGGUCCAGGUUGUGCCUCAGGUGCCUGAAGCCGAGUGGUGGUGUUGCUCCUGUCCCCCCAGUGCCCUCUCCCGGGUGUCGCUGCUGUGGCUGCCUCUGGCUGCUGCCUGUGCCCCUUGGGAGUGUUGGGGGGGUCGAGGCGGUAAGAGAAGGGGAGACCCGUGCGUGCUUCGCCUCGCUGGAGGGA